rnacentral:rRNA from 1 species
UGUUUGGGAAUGCAGCUCUAAAUGGGUGGUAAGUUUCAUCUAAAGCUAAAUAAUGGCGAGAGACCGAUAGCGAACAAGUACCGUGAGGGAAAGAUGAAAAGAACUUUGAAAAGAGAGUUAAAAGUACUUGAAAUUGCUAAGAGGGAAGCGCUAAAAACCAGUGAUACGCUGAGUCAAUCGCUUUCAGCCCCACUAGUUAGCGUAAGUAAUGGGCAACCUUGCUUGCGUUACCGAAAAGGUGGUUGGAGGUUUAUGAUUUAGUGUCAGUCAAGAUCAAUUCGAAUUGUGGGAGAAGGUAGCGAGAAAGGUAGGAGAGCAAUCUCUGUUAUAUUCUUGUUACUCUACCUCGGCUUGGAUUGAGGAAGUAAUGGUGCGCCGCUUGCGGCUUGGUCCUGCGUUCCUAUCGUCCCACUUGUUCUCAUAGCAAUGCUAUGUUUGCGGGGAAAGGCGAUUCUGGGCGUAGUGAUCCUAUGUGCCAUCACGAUCUUGUACGAAAUGGUUUUUAUCGACCCGUCUUGAAACAC